CCUACGGGUGGCAGCAGUGGGGAAUAUUGGACAAUGGGCGAAAGCCUGAUCCAGCCAUGCCGCGUGUGUGAAGAAGGCCUUCGGGUUGUAAAGCACUUUCAGUGGGGAAGAAAGCCUUGGGGCUAAUACCCUCGAGGAAGGACAUCACCCACAGAAGAAGCACCGGCUAACUCCGUGCCAGCAGCCGCGGUAAUACGGAGGGUGCGAGCGUUAAUCGGAAUUACUGAGCGUAAAGCGCGCGUAGGCGGUCUGAUAAGCCGGUUGUGAAAGCCCCGGGCUCAACCUGGGAACGGCAUCCGGAACUGUCAGGCUAGAGUGCAGGAGAGGAAGGUAGAAUUCCCGGUGUAGCGGUGAAAUGCGUAGAGAUCGGGAGGAAUACCAGUGGCGAAGGCGGCCUUCUGGACUGACACUGACGCUGAGGUGCGAAAGCGUGGGUAGCAAACAGGAUUAGAUACCCGGGUAGUC
rnacentral:rRNA from 1 species